CAGUCGACGGCAGCACGGGAGCAAUCCUGGUGGCGAGUGGCGAACGGGUGAGUAAUAUAUCGGAACGUGCCCAGUCGUGGGGGAUAACGCAGCGAAAGCUGUGCUAAUACCGCAUACGAUCUCUGGAUGAAAGCGGGGGACUCGUAAGAGCCUCGCGCGAUUGGAGCGGCCGAUAUCAGAUUAGCUAGUUGGUGGGGUAAAGGCCCACCAAGGCGACGAUCUGUAGCUGGUCUGAGAGGACGACCAGCCACACUGGAACUGAGACACGGUCCAGACUCCUACGGGAGGCAGCAGUGGGGAAUUUUGGACAAUGGGCGCAAGCCUGAUCCAGCAAUGCCGCGUGCAGGAUGAAGGCCUUCGGGUUGUAAACUGCUUUUGUACGGAACGAAAAGGUUUGCCUUAAUACGGUGGGCCCAUGACGGUACCGUAAGAAUAAGCACCGGCUAACUACGUGCCAGCAGCCGCGGUAAUACGUAGGGUGCGAGCGUUAAUCGGAAUUACUGGGCGUAGAGCGUGCGCAGGCGGUUAUAUAAGACAGAUGUGAAAUCCCCGGGCUCAACCUGGGACCUGCAUUUGUGACUGUAUAGCUAGAGUACGGUAGAAGGGGGAUGGAAUUCCGCGUGUAGCAGUGAAAUGCGUAGAUAUGCGGAGGAACACCGAUGGGCGAAGGCAUCCCCUGGACCUGUACUGACGCUCAUGCAC
rnacentral:rRNA from 1 species